AUGAUUACAAUAUAUCAUCUAACUGAAAUUAUUUUUCAAGUUUUUAAUCUACUUAGUGACAUCUUGAAAUCAUUUCAUUCAUUUAUUCAUCCUUCUACUUUUUUUCCUAAACACCUGUCCUAUGCAAGCAUUGAACUAGAUCCCGGAAGAUGUGCUGGCAGCUUCAAGUCUGAGUGUGGAGAUAGAAAAGGGAAAAAAAAAAAUGAAAGAAAAGAAAAAAAAAGUUGCUUCCUGCUCCAGUACUAUAGCAUAACACUUGUCACACUAAAUGACCAUUAGCUGUUUACUUACUAUUUUUUUUUAUUGCCAGCACUUUUCUGAAUUCUAGGCUGCUUUUACAAUAAAACAAAGUUUCUGUCCUCA
rnacentral:lncRNA from 1 species